rnacentral:rRNA from 1 species
CCCUACGGGGUGCAGCAGGCGGCCAUUGCCGGGGUGAUUGUGCUCCUGGUUUACAUUCCCUAUUCUUAUUUCCUGCUGAAGCUGAAUAUCGUAGAAUCCAUAGCCAUGGCCCUUUACUCAUCCAUACUCUUCAUAGUGGUUUACUAUUUAACCUCGUUUAUCAUCACCAGAAAGACUAAGAAGAUGGCCAGCCAAUCCCUGGGACCGAAGAAGGGGCUCCGGAAUAAGUAAAGCGCUUUUGCCUGCAUUGGAGUGGGCCCCUUUUCAUGGCCCCUCCCGCCAUAGUCCCCAAUUUUCUUUCCCUAAACUAUAAGUCUGCAGCCGCCUUAUCCCUGGAACGAGGAUUUAGAGAUGGAGCUGAAGAUAGUCGAUAUGAAGAUUCCUGAGGGAGCCAACCUGGUUUUAGGACAGAGCCAUUUUAUCAAGACGGCAGAGGACAUCUAUGAGGUCAUGGCGGGGGGGC